UACGUAGGGGGCUAGCGUUGUCCGGAUUUAUUGGGCGUAAAGAGCGUGUAGGCGGCCGGGUAAGUCCGGUGUGAAAACUCGAGGCUUAACCUGGGAACUGCGCUUGUAACUGAGAGGCUAGAGUGUGGCAGAGGGGGGUGGAAUUCCACGUGUAGCAGUGAAAUGCGUAGAGAUGUGGAGGAACACCGAUGGCGAAGGCAGCCCCCUGGGCUAACACUGACGCUCAUGCACGAAAGCGUGGGGAGCAAACAGG
rnacentral:rRNA from 1 species